rnacentral:tRNA from 1 species
CUGGGUGUAGCUCAGUUGGUAGAGCGCGUGAUUUGGGAUCACGAGGCCGUGGGAUCGUGCCCCACCACUCAGA